rnacentral:rRNA from 1 species
GACGAACGCUGGCGGCGUGCUUAACACAUGCAAGUCGAACGGAAAGGCCCCUUUGGGGGUACUCGAGUGGCGCACGGGUGAGUAACACGUGAGUAACCUGCCCUUGACUUCGGGUUAACUUCAGGAAACUGGGGCUAAUACCGGAUAGGAAUCCUUGCUGCAUGGUGGGGGUUGGAAAGCUUCGGCGGUUUUGGAUGGACUCGCGGCUUAUCAGCUUGUUGGUGGGGUAGUGGCUUACCAAGGCUUUGACGGGUAGCCGGCCUGAGAGGGCGACCGGCCACAUUGGGACUGAGAUACGGCCCAGACUCCUACGGGAGGCAGCAGUGGGGAAUAUUGCACAAUGGGCGGAAGCCUGAUGCAGCAACGCCGCGUGCGGGAUGACGGCCUUCGGGUUGUAAACCGCUUUCAGCAGGGGCGAAGCUUGUGGUGACGGUACCUGCAGAAGAAGCACCGGCUAACUACGUG